UACGGAGGGGGCAAGCGUUGUUCGGAAUUACUGGGCGUAAAGGGCGCGCAGGCGGCUGCUCAAGUCAGGCGUGAAAGGCCUGGGCUCAACCCGGGAACUGCGUCCGAUACUGGCAGGCUUGAAUCCGGGAGAGGGAUGCGGAAUUCCAGGUGUAGCGGUGAAAUGCGUAGAUAUCUGGAGGAACACCGGUGGCGAAGGCGGCAUCCUGGACCGGUAUUGACGCUGAGGCGCGAAAGCCAGGGGAGCAAACGGG
rnacentral:rRNA from 1 species